rfam:Triticum aestivum genome assembly, contig: Triticum_aestivum_CS42_TGACv1_scaffold_502079_6BL
UUCAUACUCCCUCGGUCCGGAAAUAUUUGUCAUCAAAAUGGACAAAAGGGGGUGUAACUAGACGUAUUUUAGUUUGAGAUACAUAUCUUUUUAUUCAUUUUGAUGAUAAGUAUUUUCGAACGGAGGAAGUACAUC